rnacentral:rRNA from 1 species
CCGGCUAAUUCCGUGCCAGCAGCCGCGGUAAUACGGAAGGUCCUAGCGUUGUUCGGAAUUACUGGGCGUAAAGCGCAUGUAGGCGGAACAAAAAGUUAGAAGUGAAAUCCCUGGGCUCAACCUAGGAAUUGCUUUUAAAACUUUUGUUCUGGAAUUCAGGAGAGGAAAAUGGAAUUUCCAGUGUAGAGGUGAAAUCCGUAGAUAUUGGAAGGAACACCAGUGGCGAAGGCGAUUUUCUGGACUGAUAUUGACGCUGAGAUGCGAAGGCAUGGGUAGCAAACGGGAUUAGAUACCCCGGUAGUCCAUGCAGUAAACGAUGGGUGCUAGUCGUCGGACUUUUGUUCGGUGUCGUAGCUAACGCGUUAAGCACCCCGCCUGGGGAGUACGGUCGCAAGAUUAAAACUCAAAUAAAUUGACGGGGACCCGCACAAGCAGUGGAGCAUGUGGUUUAAUUCGACGCAACGCGAAGAACCUUACCAGCGUUUGACAUGGGAAGUGCCGGUUACAGAAUGGUAACCUUCAGUUCGGCUGGCUUCCACACAGGUGCUGCAUGGCUGUCGUCAGCUCGUGUCGUGAGAUGUUGGGUUAAGUCCCGCAACGAGCGCAACCCUUAUCGUUAGUUACUAACAGUUCGGCUGAGGACUCUAGCGAAACUGCCGGUGAUAAGCCGGAGGAAGGUGGGGAUGACGUCAAGUCCUCAUGGCCCUUACACGCUGGGCUACACACGUGCUACAAUGGUAACUACAACGGGAAGCAAUACCGCGAGGUGGAGCAAAUCCCAAAAAGUUAUCUCAGUUCGGAUUGCACUCUGCAACUCGAGUGCAUGAAGUUGGAAUUGCUAGUAAUCGCGGAUCAGCAUGCCGCGGUGAAUACGUUCCCGGGUCUUGUACACACCGCCCGUCACACCAUGAGAGUUGGUUUUAUCUUAAGUCAGUGCGCUAACCUUCGGGAGGCAGCUGCCCACGGUACGGCCAGCGAUUGGGGUG